CUGUGUUUUAAUAGUAGAAUCAGAGGAGAGCAGUGUAGAAACACUGUAAUUAAUCCAGCAAUACCAUAAUUGUCCCCAAACGAUGCAGAAAGAGUUUGACAAGUGUUUUUUUUUUUUUUUUUAAUCUUGAGAGCAUUUACAAAACCUGGAACAUGAAGCUUUAUCACACGAUGUUGAAGUGCUAAUCCAAUUUCACGAGAAGCUUCCAAUAAUGAAGGUACAGGAGAUGGGCAGACUUUCCCUGCCUGCCUAUCUGUGGCUGCUCAUGCAGUUGAAACUCAAGUUUACCUGGCACAGGGGCAAAAGAGGGAGGAAGAGCCCCACAUGUGCAGAUCUCCCGGCAGCAGUCUCAGAGAUGAGCCUGAUAUCAUAGUGAGGCGCUGGAAUGGGCUGCCCAGAGAGGUGGUGGAGUCAUCAUCCCUGAGGUGCUCAGAAACAGGUUCCUGGCUCUUCCUCACAGUGUUUGUUGGCCAGACCAGCUGCGUCUCAAGGAGAGGACCUUCCUACUGCUGUUAUCUAGUUAAAGGAUCCCACAGCUGCCUAUCAUACAGGCAAUGGUGCCUCUGGGUUUUCUUCUGUCCCUUUCUGUACAGGACAUUCCUCCCUCAGAAUUGUUUUCUCCCUCUUCUUUGCAAAGGCUUCUUCCCUGUGAAACAUGACAGAUAGCAAUGCAAUGCAGAGAAUUAAUGUCAUGUAGGGAUGAUCUCUCUUUGAGUGCCCAGGUAGGGCUCUUCUCCAUCCAUCAGUAUAGUCCAACUCAGGGAUCGGUAUUUUCUCUAAAUAAAUCCAUCCCUUUAUUUUUCCUCUUCAAAGGCAGUAAUUGCAAUAGCAGGACCCCAGCCUUGAUUUUUGGGGUGCCUCUAGUCUUCUAAACAGAUCUGCCAGAACUUUUAUAACACACAGGAUGAGCUAUAACCAACCCCAAAUAAAUCUGCCAGCUAUUUCUCUAGUGUUUUCAUUGCCACCUUCUUUCUGUUCUGCUUUGGGUUGCCAGUGUUGAUGAAAUGGCAUUUUUGAUCCAGGUUUCUGUGUCCUGUCACCAGCUGCAGUACAUCUCUCUAUAAAGUUCAAAGGAGAUGCCAGGGAAAUCUCUGCCUUUGUGUUCAGAUCCUCGUUGUUUAUGGCCAACAGCACUGAAUUUCAAUUUUUGUUCUCUCUUCAGACAGCAAAUAGCAGAGCACAUGUGCCUUUCUCCAUGGAAGAUUGGGAUUAGUACAUACAAAGCAGAGAAACAUCUAUUUCACACUGAGAAAUUAAGGAUCAGAAUGUUUAUUAAGGAAGUUAGUUGAUUUUCUUGUUUGUUUGUUUUCCCUUUGUUUUGUUUCUUUUUUUUCUUUUUAGCAAUGGCAGUGUCUCAGCACUGUGCUCACAAUGCACUUCGUGUCUCCACUGUCACUCCAUUUAAAGCUAGACACCUCUCUGCUUUACAAGUUUUCUUUCAGCAGUGACAGGGAACAGCAAGGGACAGCAAGGCAAGCAUGACACCAAGCCUGAGAGCUGAAGCCUCGCUGAUGGACAAGGAGCACAGAGCCACAGCCCCAAGCAGGGAGGGCAGGGACGUACAUAAAUAGAGGUAGCCCAGAGUCCAGCUCUCCAGGCAAGUCCACAGCAGCCAGGCAGGUCCAAGCUUAAACCACGACAUUGGCCCACACGUUGGAGCCUGGGUCAGUGUUGAUCCACGUCCAGGCAGGAGUACAACUGUGACCAUCGUAGGUGGGGCUGAGGACCAGAGCCUUUGCUGAAGAUGAGUGUUCUAGCUAAGCACCUACAUGUGCACCUAGUGUGCCAAUCUCAUCUACAGAAACCAUCACAAACCUUCCCAAACAGCCUAAGUGGUUGCUGUCUCUUUCAUGAGGCCUUUUUUCAGCUCUCAUGGGCUUCUCACAGUCAAACAAAAUAAUAAGAAAUAGAAAAGAAAUAAGGUUUCAGCAGUAAAACAUUAACCGGGCCAAGAGUAGAGGGAAAUAUAAUGCACAUUCAUAGUCUGGAAUACCAAACUAUUAUUGAAAUGAUUUAGAAGAGUCCAAAUGAGGGUGGAUCAGUUUGUUGUUUUUCCAGGAGAUGCUUAAGAGGUGGCUAUCUCAUUCUAUGAAUAAAUUAUAAGAGAGUUUCAGAAAGGAAAGGGAUAUUUCCUUAAGCGGAGAAGCAAAAUGCAAAAGCUGGAAGCUUGUU
ensembl:lncRNA